CCUACGGGUGGCAGCAGUGAGGAAUAUUGGUCAAUGGACGAGAGUCUGAACCAGCCAAGUAGCGUGAAGGAUGACUGCCCUAUGGGUUGUAAACUUCUUUUAUAUGGGAAUAAAAUGUUCCACGUGUGGCUUUUUGUAUGUACCAUAUGAAUAAGGAUCGGCUAACUCCGUGCCAGCAGCCGCGGUAAUACGGAGGAUCCGAGCGUUAUCCGGAUUUAUUGGGUUUAAAGGGAGCGUAGGUGGUUUGUUAAGUCAGUUGUGAAAGUUUGCGGCUCAACCGUAAAAUUGCAGUUGAAACUGGCAGUCUUGAGUACAGUAGAGGUAGGCGGAAUUCGUGGUGUAGCGGUGAAAUGCUUAGAUAUCACGAAGAACUCCGAUUGCGAAGGCAGCUCACUGGACUGCAACUGACACUGAGGCUCGAAAGUGUGGGUAUCAAACAGGAUUAGAUACCCUGGUAGUC
rnacentral:rRNA from 1 species